GAAUUGCAUUUUGUAGCUUACACUAUUUAAGUUUUAUUCUUCCGGGCUUCAAUCAGACAAAGUGCUGCAUACUUUAUUGGAUAUUUAUUCAAAACCAGUUAUCUAUAUCUUGUUGAUGAGGCUCCAAAUGUGAUAUCCACCCUGAUUAUUUUACUAAGUGAUUCAGAUUCAGCUACCUUGACGGUCUCUUGGGAAGCAUUGUCUAGUGUGAUCAGACAAAGUGCACUUUCUUUUCUUUGAAUUGCAUUUUGUAGCUUACACUAUUUUAAGUUUUAUUCUUCCGGGCUUCAAUCAGACAAGGUGCUGCAUACUUUAUUGGAUAUUUAUUCAAAACCAGUUAUCUAUAUCUUGUUGAUGAGGCUCCAAAUGUGAUAUCCACCCUGAUUAUUUUACUAAGUGAUUCAGAUUCAGCUACCUUGACGGUUGCUUGGGAAGCAUUGUCUAGUGUGAUCAGUUCAGUUCCUAAAGAAGUUCUUCCUUCAUAUAUAAAGUUGGUUUGUGAUGUAUAGAAACAUGCAGGGAGGACCAGUUCUAAUACCUGGUUUUUUCCCCCGGAAAGCUCUUCAACCUGUGCUUCCUAUGUUCCUCCAGCUUUAGGCCGUGGAGAGUUAAUUGAAGUGACAAGUGAGCAAGCAUUAAAGGUGUUUUUCAUUCCAAUCACAGGUGAACUAUGCCCUUUAUUAGUGUAUCAACUAUAAAACAGUCCUCUACAUUUGUCUGAACCUUUGGAUCACAAGUGUAAGGUCAUUCUAGAUUGUUUUUGGUGUACGCCGUUGAUUCAUAUAUUAGGGUCCCAUGGCAAGUUAAAAGUGCAAUUCUCGCUGUGUUGAAAUGACGGACAACGAGUUGGCUUAUUUGGAGUGCAUCCACUUGUUUGUGGAGAUACUGGAUCACUUUUUUUAGUAAUGUCUGGGAGUUAGAUUUGGUUUUUUACUUUCACAAGUUUUGCUUAUAUCCUUAGCAUCAAACCCCAAACUUUGCUCCAUAAAAUAAGACCUCGAACAUCUACCGGCAACUUGUUCACUUCAACUGCUGAAACACGUACAGAAGACUGAAAGGAUGGUAUGGCUGGAAUCAGUGCAGAGGAAUCCUAAGCUUACACUGACAACGCCCAAGGAACCUGAACUUGAAACAACUCAACCUUACUGUCUAGUAAAACUUAAGAGCUCAGCUGAGUUGGAAGAAGAAAUGAUGGCAAAAUUCCCCAAGUUUAAGGCUCGCCCUCUAAAUAAGAAGAAUCCUAUUGGAAUAAGUUUGACACUUUCACAUAUCAUGAUAUGACGGUAAUGUGACCAUUACAUAAUGCCUGCGCACUUCAGAGUGUUGCUCAACAACAUGAAGGGAAAGAGAGGCUUUGGUUUUCUUCUCUAUUAUUACUGUUUCAUAUGUUGUGGAGUUCUGGGUUGUCAUUGCUCCCCCUCAAGAGGAAAGGGCGCAGGGUACAUGUUGGAUUGGUAGGUGCUUUGUAUUAUUCUUAGCAGAGAGAAGUUUUAUCUGUAGUGUGGUCGUAUUAAUCUUUAACUAUUAUUUCAAGUAUUCAUGAGCAUCAUAGUUAUUUUAUUGGAAAUUUGAUUGUUUUCAAGAAAUUAUUUGAGCAUGGAAUU